AGAAAUCUGCGGCAAAUGGGCAUAUGUGUUGUUGUGUAAGUCCCUUCGUAUACUCCUGUGUCCAAGCAUCAGUACUCUGUCUUCUCAGUUUGGGUAGAGAUUCCCCUGCCCCUGCCCUAAAGUUAAUGUCCGUAGGGAACCCUUGUGCAGGGAGUGGAGAUUUUCAAAAUCUCAUAAACAAUGGUCAAUUUUGGCAUCUUAUAUGGCACUUUCAACUACAAAUACAUCAUGCCGAAAGCCCUCAAACCCAUUACUCCAAUACCCCGGCACCUUUACUGUAGCCCAAUCCCCAGAUCUAAGCACAGAGGCCGUUGGUCUCAUACUGUGACCACAACGGCUCCAAGGACGCGCGCCUUCUCUGAAAACACGAGUCAUGAUUGUGAAAUUUGGGGCGAUGGCAUGGAGGAGGUAUUCAUUGACAUGCUUUACUAGGACGCCCUUCAUGGUAGAUUAAGGACUGACAAGAUCACAAGUAGGAAGCAUACAUCUUAUGUUGAGCGGCUCACCGCUGUUGAUGUGCGGGUGUUUGACGCGAGCUAGAUUCGAGACAAAAUCCAGAGGUUAAAGGCCCAACAUCUGUUUACCGAUCUAGUGAGCCAAAUCGGGAUGGGUUGGGAUCCCAACAUGAAGACGAUAAUGGAGAGCGAUGAAGCCUGGGAAAUGCCAUUAGGGUUAAAUCGAAAUGGGAAAGGUUUCGUACAUUCGGCUGCCCAAAGCACGAGGAGUUGUGCACCAUAUUCGGCGCUUUUGUUACAUACGGGACUAUGCAACACGCGUCAACAUAACUGCCCCCAGAUAGUGACGACGAGCGGCAGCUUGAUUCAAAGAUGCAAGCUCGGCGCCCUCCCACAUUGGGCAAUCGACAAGGAUUGCGCAUUGAGAUUGAUGACAUGGAUGAGUUGAUGGGGAUGGGGUCAUCUUCAGGCGGUGUAUCGACACAUUUAUCACGUAGGCAAAAGAAGAAAAUGAGCCAGCUCGAUCAAGAGAUUUCUACAGCCCUCGAGGAGGUGAAAUGCAUGCAGAUCGCAUGACGUAAGCGGUAUGAGGAGGCUGGUGCUAUGUCUUCAAUGAAGCGCAGCAGAGGAUCAGAGUCUACUGAGGGUAGCGAUGGGACUUACGAUCCGACACGUCAUUUUAUAAAAUUGCUCAACGAGAUUUUCCCAAGACUGGAGGGGCCAGUGUGGUAUCGUGUAGUGAAGGAGUUACUUGAUCUAAAUGCAGCAAGCCUUCUUGUCGAUGGACGAAAAUGGGAGGGAAUUUUGGGUCCGAAACUGUUGAGGAGUCUCUAGGAUAAUUGUUUUAUCCUCUAUUAUUUUCGUGACUGUUACUUUAUUUUUUUCAUGAGGCCAUAUGUAUGUUAUUGGUAAUUGAUGAGUUUGUUGAGUUUAUGUUAUUGCUACGGUAUGAAGUUGAUGAGUUUAUGUUAUUGCUAAUGUAUUAGUUU